rnacentral:rRNA from 1 species
AGGAAGAGAAACUAAUAAGGAUUCCUUUAGUAAUGGCGAAUGAACAAGGAUUAGCUCAGGAUGAAAAUCAGGUAUUAUGGCAUUGAAUUGUAAUUUAAAGAUGCUCUGCCAACAGAUGCGCAGAUGUAAGCCUUUUGGAAAAACACAUCAAUGAUGGUGAGAAUCCUGUUGAUCAUUUGCAGCUAUCUGUGCACGGUGUGCAUUCUAUGAUUCACGUUCCUCGGGAUUGGAACGCAAAGUGGGUGGUAAUAUUCAUUUGAAGCUUAACAUUGGUUUGAGACCGAUAGCAAACAAGUACCAUGAGGGAAAAGUGAAAAGGACUUUGAAAAGAAAGUUAAAAAGUGCAUGAAAUUGUUGAAAAGGAAGCGGAUGUAACCAUAUGCUCUUUGCAAGAUUGUUGUGUGCCUCGUGUGAUAAGUUUGCUGCGUCAACGCCAAGUGUAGCAGCAAGCCUAAUCUGAUUGUGCAUGGUGGUUCUUGCAUUGUGUGCCAACAUCAUUUUGCAACUGGUGAAAACAUAAAAGACAAGGUAAUUUGCCUGCGGGUGAACGAAUGUGUUUUUAAGGGAGCCAGUUGUGGAUUGUUGCAUGCGUGGGUGGUACAAUGGUUAUGUGCACACAAUUAUUUACAUUGAAUAAGUGCUAAACCCAUUUGGCCAUUCUUGACACAACAAUGAUGGCAAAAUGGUUUCAUUUGACC